rnacentral:rRNA from 1 species
AACCUUAACUUACACCCUAAUCGCCAGGAAACUACGAGCAAAGCUUAAAACCCAAAGGACUUGACGGUGCCCCACAUCCCCCUAGAGGAGCCUGUCCUGUAAUUGAUAAUCCUCGCUUAACCUCACCAUUUUUUGCCUUUCAGUCUGUAUACCUCCGUCGUCAGCUUACCCCAUGAGGGUAUUCUAGUAAGCUUAAUGUUUAUCCGCCAAUACGUCAGGUCAAGGUGCAACUAAUAAAAUGGAAAGAGAUGGGCUACACUUUCUAAUCUAGAAGACACGGAAGACUACCAAUGAAAAAUAGUCUGAAGGCGGAUUUAGUAGUAAGAAGAAAACAGAGUGUUCUUCUUAACUCGGCACUGGGGUGCGUACACACCGCCCGUCGCCCUCUUCAAAAAUAAUAGAUCAGUAUUUAACCAAUUUUAACAUAUAAGAAGAGGUAAGUCGUAACAUGGUAAGCGUACCGGAAGGUGUGCUUGG